CAGCUGGGACUUAGUAGACACUAAUUCUAUAAAGGCAGAAAUGGUGAAAGGAGCUACUGUCAUCAUCUCCAGAUCCCCAGUUCUUAUUCCCAGCUGGACUGUGUACCCAGAUGCCUACAAGGUGACCG
rnacentral:lncRNA from 1 species